UAACCUGCCCAAGAGAUCGGGAUAACACCUGGAAACAGAUGCUAAUACCGGAUAACAACAGAUGAUGCCUAUCAACUGUUUAAAAGAUGGUUCUGCUAUCACUCUUGGAUGGACCUGCGGUGCAUUAGCUAGUUUGUAGGGUAACGGCCUACCAAGGCGAUGAUGCAUAGCCGAGUUGAGAGACUGAUCGGCCACAUUGGGACUGAGACACGGCCCAAACUCCUACGGGAGGCAGCAGAC
rnacentral:rRNA from 1 species